GCCAAAUGAGUGACUUAAUGGUCUGAGUGUUGGACUGUGACACUGGAGACCUGGGUUCGAUUCCUAGCUUGGCC